UGCGCAGGCGGGUUAUUAAGUCAGUGGUGAAAUCUCUCGGCUCAACCGAGAAGCUGCCAUUGAAACUGAUAAUCUUGAGUAUAGUUGUAGUAGGCGGAAUAUAGCAUGUAGCGGUGAAAUGCUUAGAUAUGCUAUAGAACACCGAUCGCGAAGGCAGCUUACUAAACUAUUACUGACGCUCAUGCACGAAAGCGUGGGGAGCAAACAGGAUUAGAUACCCUGGUAGUCC
rnacentral:rRNA from 1 species